CAACAAUCCCAGAACACUACUGAAACCUCCCGCUAAACUGUUUUACCUGCACGGUGUUAGCUUCCUGGCUUCCAGAAAAUCCCAAAUCUCAUCGCGCGAGACUGGCGUCACGACGACUACACGUAAGCGCACAAUUUCGCCGUCCCCGGAGACAGAGAAGAGGGCUGAUGGAUUCCACAGUUAAACAUGCAUUUCCUACCUGAUCCCCAUCUUACAGUCCAUAACACAAGGCUCAUCAAAGUUAUUCAGCAGAUCAUCCAGUUGUAUAUAACUUUCUCCAUCUCGCUCAACCACACCAUGGAAUGCAGGGGCACAGUGAACCAAGGAGUCCUUCAUUACCAGCUCAAACGCAUUCUUCUCAUUUUCUGAGUAGCGUUUUAGAAUUGUACCAUUAGCUGCUGCUUUAAAACUCCCUAUGGAAAGAACAACAACAAGUAAGAAAUGCAGCUAUGCUGUUUCCAUCACUUAAUAGCAUACCACAUUCACUAUAAUACAGUACAGUAGAGCAGAGGGUUACAUAGAUACUUUUAAUUAGUGGCUUUUUUGUUGGAUUAUAUAAUGAU